AAUGUCUAGGUACAGUCAGGUUAUGGAGUAGAUGUGGGAAUGUUAAUGUCUAGGUACAGUCAGGUUAUGGAUAGAUGUGGGAAUGUUAAUGUCUAGGUACAGUCAGGUUAUGGAGUAGAUGUGGGAAUGUUAAUGCCUAGGUACAGUCAGGUUAUGGAGUAGAUGUGGGAAUGUUAAUGCCUAGGUACAGUCAGGUUAUGGAGUAGAUGUGGGAAUGUUAAUGUCUAGGUACAGUCAGGUUAUGGAGUAGAUGUGGGAAUGUUAAUGCCUAGGUACAGUCAGGUUAUGAAUGUGUAUGGGAAUGUUAA
rnacentral:lncRNA from 1 species